rnacentral:lncRNA from 10 species
GCCUAAAUGACUGCCAGUAUAUUUUGGCAGCCAUGCUCAACAGACCUGCUCACAGGCCAACGUAUUCAAAAGCUCCAGGAAAAAAAAAAAAAAAAAGCCAUUUUCCUCUCUCCACCACAUACCACACUUCUGGGAUUCUGAAAUAUCUUACCAAGCACUUUAUUCAAUCUAAAUUUAAAUAGAAGUUUUCCCCACUUCCCAAGAGAGAAACAACAACGAACUAGAUGAGAAUGAGAGGAACUGGAAGAAGUAAUGAAAUCUGAGAAGCUGAAUUUAGCAAUACAGAUGCAAACUGUGCCAUCAGAAGAUUAAAAUGAAAGUGAAAUGUCCUGAAAAUAUCAGAAUCGCAUCAGUAAUAGAAGUAAAUGAAAAGUGAAGACCUCUUUGAAUUAUCUUAUUUCAUUUGACUAUGUUCCUCCUGAGUCACAAAAAAAGGAUGUUACAGCUAUUUUUCUUAAGCUGAUGGGCCAAAAGAUUGUAGGUCAGAUGAAAGUGAGAUCCAUACAUCCUUCUUCAGCAACUUGUGCCUCUGCUCUGCACCUCCCGCAAUUAACUACUGAAAAAAGAACACAGCUUCACAAAAGAGAUUGUAAAAUCAGGAAGUAUAUCUAAGUCACCUCCAGUAGCCGUAACUCUACCUUGUCCAGUAAAAGGGACAGGACCUCUAUAUGUUGCUCAGGCUGGAGUGUGGCAGCUAUUCACGGAUGUGAUUAUAGUACACUACAGCCUCAACUCCUGGGCUCAAGCAAAGCUUCCCAAAUCGGUGGGACUAUAGGCACACGCCACUGUGCUGUUCAAUAAUAAGAUUUCUGUCUAACACCACUGCGCCUGUUUCCUUGAUAAAUAUUUAUUAUCUGUGUUUAUUUAUUUUAUCCUGGGAGAACAUACAAGAUUUCGGGGUCAGAGAACAGACUGAUUGUUUUAUGUACAGCAAUAACAGCACUGGCUCCCCACUCCCUAUUUCUCCUUUGAAGCCGUGCUGUGAAGGUAGAUGUCAGCCUGCACAUGCAAAGGGGUCGCUGCAUAAGACGAAUCCUGAAAUUGUGUAACUGGGAGUUUAUAUGAAGUGCCUCUCAGCAGCCCCGCCAACCCUCCUCCCUCUAGAGAGGGGAAGAGAAGUCAUCACUGUCUAAUGUGAAGGAAUUCUCUCUGGGAAGGGAGGAGACGGUCCCUAAAUUGUUACAACCCUUUGAAAUGUAAAGGAAGCCUCUGGAUUGUUUCUCAUUCUUUUAAAUGUAAAUAAAUGGCAAAUGGCUCUCAAGGCGAUCAAUUUUUAACUCUAUCUGGA